rnacentral:lncRNA from 1 species
AAGUGAUAUAGUUUGUACAAAAUGGAAAUUUCGGGUUGUCACAACCUCCCUUAUACGCCACCAACACCCACCGCAACCAUCUCCUACCAUGCCUUCCCUUCCAGGAAACAUACCUGUUCAAGUACCAUCAUUCCAGCAUCAUUAAAUUCCUACAACCAUCACCACCUUAUACAGCCAACAACACUACCUGCUAUCACCAUCACCAAGCAUCUCUAUCGAUAGUCGAGACUCGCUCUUAGCUGGAACACCACCUACGUCGCACCAUCACAAACCACCAUAGCCGACCGAUUACAGAUUACACCACCCUCUACCAUCUUUCAUCAUCACCAUUAAAACCAACUUCAAAAAUCGAGAACAAACCACCAAAAACCAUCUGCAAGUUCGAACCAAUAAGAAUGAAAAGAAGAGAAAGGUUGUCGAUUUCUUGGCUGUAGAGGAAAACAAAAGUAAAUAGUAAAUAUGAAACUGGUUUUGUGAGCCAAAGAUAAAUGUCAUGUCAUUGUUUUUUUCUUUAAUUAGUAUUUACCAGCAACAACACCCACCAUUGUUAAGACUUACACAACACCAAUAGAAACUCAAACCAAGUAUACCCCAUAUAGAUGUAAACAACAUCCAAGGGCAUAAUGGUCAUUACUCUAGAUAAAAAAUAGAAAGCAAAUAACACACCAUGUUGUUAGGGUGUAACCACUCACCUACUUUCCCCUGUACUUUUUAUUGCUACUAAUAAAGUAGAUAUAACAGAACCCACAAAACAUGGUCUGUAUCAAUUCGUCUGUCCACUCGUCUGGAUUCACUGAUAAUAUCUAUGUCAACAACUUUAUAAUUAACCAAAUAACAAAAAAUUGAUCCAAAUCACCAUUGGUUCCUACAGUUCCAAAAAUCCAAAUCAUAUCUGAAAUAAAAAACGUGAAACUAAAUGGGGCGAAGCUUCAAGUUGUUGCUCUUUUAUUUCCAUUUACAAAUCAUAUUUCAAGUUGUUGCUCUUUGAUCCAACGCCCCUGUGAUUCUUCCUUUUCAAGUUACCCCCAAUGAAUAACAUCUUUUUAGUCCUCUAAUAAUUAUUACCAAUGAAAAAAUCUUAAUUUGAUCAACUUGGUACCCUACAAUGCUAAGGAAAAAGGGAAAUUUUACAUUUUUUUAAUCUUUGUAUGAUUGCAUAAAAACAUGUUUAAGGGACGUGUCAAGUUGAUUCCCAAUGUUUCUUCAUUUGUCUCAUCAACACAAGUUCAAAAGAUUAACAUUUGAAUUAACAGUUACUCAUCUAUUCAUGUUCUUGCUUGAAGUAACCUAUAGCCCUUUUAGUUUCAAAAACUAAAGAAUCAAAAACAAAAACCUUGAAUUUAGAUGUUUUAAUCAAAACAAAUAUGAAUUAGUUUAGGCAGAGGAAAUAAUAACCUACCUUCCAUAUUUCCUCUUCGACCAAAAACAAUGGCUAAGAGGUGUUUUUGAAUGAUUUGAUUGCAUUGGAGAGAGAAUCAUUCCCGGUGUAUAGAUUGUCGUGAUUGGGGAUCAAAGAAUUGCAGAACAUGCCUGUAAGUAUAGUGGUAAAUGGAUUUGGUAGUGAAAUGUUCCUGCAAUUAAAGAUUUUAGGGCAAAAUUGAGAAGAAAAAUGGUUUAAAUGACAAAAUAGAUGACGAAAUAAAGGAAGAAACAUGCUUGGUUUCAAAGAGAAUGAGAGGAGAAGAAAAGAAUGAAGCGGCUGCAAGUGGUGACCGGAGACGAUGACCGACAACCACUGAUGGCGAAUCUGAAUAAAGCCACAAUACAAGUUUUAUUGGCAGUGUUCUAUAGUCGUGUGAACGUUUGCUUCAAAUGGUUGCAUUUGUUAAGAAAGGCCAUGGUUGUGGUGGCUUAGGGUUUGUAGAGAAGAAGACGACGAUUGACGGUGGCUAUAUUGGUGUUCGACAACAGUGAGAGUGAUGACAGUGGCGUGUGUGCUAGAUGGUGGUGGGGGAGAAGCGGCCAGAUUCUACAUAAGUGCAAUGACCUAGGGUUUUGCAGAGGGUUUGAAAUAUUUGUUCCGUAACUUGUGGAUGUUUUUAAAUGCGAGUUUAGA